rnacentral:rRNA from 1 species
GGUUUGAUUCUGGCUCAGAUUGAACGCUGGCGGGAUGCUUUACACAUGCAAGUCGAACGGCAGCACGGACUUCGGUCUGGUGGCGAGUGGCGAACGGGUGAGUAAUGUAUCGGAACGUGCCUAGUAGCGGGGGAUAACUACGCGAAAGCGUAGCUAAUACCACAUACUGCGCCCUUCGGGGAAAGCGGGGACCUUCCCGGGCCUCGCACUGUGGAAGCGGCCGAUAUCCGGAUUAGCUAGUUGGUGGGAGUAACGGCUCACCAAGGCGACGAUCCGUAGCUGGUUUGAAGGACGACCAGCCACACUGGGACUGAGACGCGGCAGACUCUACGGGGAGGCAACAGUGAAAUUUGGACAAUGGAAACCCUGAUCCAGCCAUCCCGCGUGUGCGAUAAGGCCACUGGGUUGUAAGCACUUUUGGCAGGAAAAGAAACGGCACGGAUGUACGAUGCAACUGACGUUACCACAGAAUAACUUUUCCUUCUUUUCCGCUACCCAGCCGCGGUAAUGCAUAGGGUGCAAGCGUUAAUCAGAAUUUUUGGGCGUAAAGCGUGCGCAGGCGGUUCGGAAAGAAAGUGAAAUCCCAGAAGCGCUUUAGACUGCAUUUUACUUCUGAGCUAAGGUGUGUCAGAGGAACGGAACACGUGUAGCAGUGAAAUGCGUGAAUAUGCGGAGGAACACCGAUAGCGGCACAGCCUCCUGGGAUAACACUGACGCUCAUGCACGAAAGCGUGGGAGCAAACAGGAUUAGAUACCCUGGUAGUCCACGCCCUAAACGAUGUCAACUAGCUGUUGGGGCCUUCGGGCCUUGGUAGCCCACCAACUAACGCGUGAGAUUGACAGCAACAAGAAUUUGGUCCGCCGAUUAAAGCUCAAAGGAAUUGACGGGGACCGCACAAGCGGUGGAUGAUGUGGAUUAAUUCGAUGCAACGCGAAAACCCAGCACUACCCCGCCAGCAUAUACGAAUCCCACGAAGAGAUUUGGGAGUGCUCGCAAGAGAACCGGAACACAGGUGCUGCGUGGCUGUCGUCAGCUCGUGUCGUGAGAUGUUGGGUUAAGUCCACAACGAAGCGCAACCCAUGUCAUUAGUUGCUACGAAAGGGCACUCUAAUGAGACUGCCGGUGACAAACCGGAGGAAGGUGGGGAUGACGUCAGAGUGCCUCCUUUUAGCCCUUAUGAGUGGGGCUACGCGUCAUGCAAUGGUCGGGACAGAGGGUUAAAGCAACCACGAGGGAGCCAAUCCGGGAAACCCGGUCGUGGUCGGAUCGCGGUCACGACUCGACUGCGUGAAGUCCGGAAUCUCGCUGGUAAUCGCGGAUCAGCAUGUCGCGGUGAAUACGUUCCCGGGUCUUGUACACACCGCCCGUCACACCAUGGAAUUGGGUUUUACCAGAAGUAGUUAGCCUAACCGUAAGGGAGGCGAUUACCACGGUAGAGUUCAUGACUGGGGUGAAGGUGUAUGAGUAA